rnacentral:lncRNA from 1 species
CUCUGACCUCCAGAGACUGCUCCUAGCCUGAGCAGGCAGCCUCACUUUCAAUGGAAACAUCACUGAAGGCCUUGGACCAGCUCAGCCUCAGUGGUCCUCAUUAGAAUUAGACUUAUCCGAUGUUUUGUGGAGAACAGCAGUCCACGGUGAAAAGGAAACUAUUAACAAUGGAAGAGGGGACAUCUCCAGGACAAUCAAAGGCAGCAGCUGGAAACAUUGCUGUCAUUUUGUUCAUUUGCCAAAACUUGAAUCAGCAGC